rnacentral:rRNA from 1 species
AUCUCCUACGGGGGGCAGCAGUGGGGAAUAUUGGGCAAUGGGCGCAAGCCUGACCCAGCAACGCCGCGUGAAGGAAGAAGUAUCUCGGUACGUAAAGCUCUACCAGCAGGGAAGAAAAUGACGGUACCUGACUAAGAAGCCCCGGCUAACUACGUGCCAGCAGCCGCGGUAAUACGUAGGGGGCAAGCGUUAUCCGGAUUUACUGGGUGUAAAGGGAGCGUAGACGGCAGCGCAAGUCUGGAGUGAAAUGCCGGGGCCCAACCCCGGAACUGCUUUGGAAACUGUGCAGCUCGAGUGCAGGAGAG